rnacentral:rRNA from 1 species
GUGCACGCGGUAGGAGAGCGUUCUGUAAGCCUGCGAAGGUGGCUUGUAAAGGCUGCUGGAGGUAUCAGAAGUGCGAAUGCUGACAUGAGUAGCGAUAAAGGGGGUGAAAAGCCCCCUCGCCGUAAGUCCAAGGUUUCCUGCGCAACGUUCAUCGGCGCAGGGUGAGUCGGCCCCUAAGGCGAGGCAGAGAUGCGUAGCUGAUGGGAAGCUGGUUAAUAUUCCAGCACCGUCGUACAGUGCGAUGGGGGGACGGAUCGCGGAAGAUCAUCAGGGUGUUGGAUGUCCCUGUUGCUGCAUCGAAGAUGGCGCUUAGGCAAAUCCGGGCGCGUAAAUCAAGGGUGUGGCACGAGCGAGCAUUGCUUGCGAAGUGAUUGGAAGUGGUUCCAAGAAAAGCCUCUAAGCUUCAGCUGUACGAGACCGUACCGCAAACCGACACAGGUGGACGGGAUGAAUAUUCCAAGGCGCUUGAGAGAACUCAGGAGAAGGAACUCGGCAAAUUGAUACCGUAACUUCGGGAGAAGGUAUACCCCGGUAGUGUGAAGCGCCUGCGCGCUUAGCAUGAUGGGGUCGCAGAGAAUCGGUGGCUGCGACUGUUUAUUAAAAACACAGCACUCUGCAAAGACGAAAGUCGACGUAUAGGGUGUGACGCCUGCCCGGUGCCGGAAGGUUAAGUGAUGGGGUGCAAGCUCUUGAUCGAAGCCCCGGUAAACGGCGGCCGUAACUAUAACGGUCCUAAGGUAGCGAAAUUCCUUGUCGGGUAAGUUCCGACCUGCACGAAUGGCGUAACGAUGGCCACACUGUCUCCUCCUGAGACUCAGCGAAGUUGAAGUGUUUGUGAUGAUGCAAUCUACCCGCGGCUAGACGGAAAGACCCCAUGAACCUUUACUGUAGCUUUGCAUUGAUCUGUGAACCGGCCUGUGUAGGAUAGGUGGGAGGCUUUGAAGCGUAGUCGCUAGAUUACGUGGAGCCAUCCUUGAAAUACCACCCUGGUUUGUUUGCGGUUCUAACCUUGGUCCGUUAUCCGGAUCGGGGACAGUGCAUGGUGGGCAGUUUGACUGGGGCGGUCUCCUCCCAAAGUGUAACGGAGGAGUUCGAAGGUACGCUAGGUACGGUCGGAAAUCGUGCUGAUAGUGCAAUGGCAUAAGCGUGCUUGACUGUGAGACUGACAAGUCGAACAGGUGCGAAAGCAGGACAUAGUGAUCCGGUGGUUCUGAAUGGAAGGGCCAUCGCUCAACGGAUAAAAGGUACUCUGGGGAUAACAGGCUGAUACCGCCCAAGAGUUCAUAUCGACGGCGGUGUUUGGCACCUCGAUGUCGGCUCAUCUCAUCCUGGGGCUGUAGCCGGUCCCAAGGGUAUGGCUGUUCGCCAUUUAAAGAGGUACGUGAGCUGGGUUUAAAACGUCGUGAGACAGUUUGGUCCCUAUCUGCCGUGGGCGUUGGAUACUUGACGGAGCCUGCUCCUAGUACGAGAGGACCGGAGUGGACGUACCUCUGGUGUACCGGUUGUCAUGCCAAUGGCAUUGCCGGGUAGCUAAGUACGGAAGAGAUAACCGCUGAAGGCAUCUAAGCGGGAAACUCGUCUGAAGAUAAGGUAUCCCGGGGACUUGAUCCCCCUGAAGGGUCGUUCGAGACCAGGACGUUGAUAGGUCGGGUGUGGAAGCGCAGUAAUGCGUUAAGCUAACCGAUACUAAUUGCCCGUGAGGCUUGAUCCUAUAACACUGAUGGUUAUG